CCUACGGGAGGCAGCAGUGGGGAAUUUUGGACAAUGGACGCAAGUCUGAUCCAGCCAUGCCGCGUGUGGGAAGAAGGCCUUCGGGUUGUAAACCACUUUUGUCAGGGAAGAAACGGCUCGGGUUAAUACCUUGGGCUAAUGACGGUACCUGAAGAAUAAGCACCGGCUAACUACGUGCCAGCAGCCGCGGUAAUACGUAGGGUGCAAGCGUUAAUCGGAAUUACUGGGCGUAAAGCGUGCGCAGGCGGUUAUGCAAGACAGAUGUGAAAUCCCCGGGCUCAACCUGGGAACUGCAUUUGUGACUGCAUGGCUAGAGUACGGUAGAGGGGGAUGGAAUUCCGCGUGUAGCAGUGAAAUGCGUAGAUAUGCGGAGGAACACCGAUGGCGAAGGCAAUCCCCUGGACCUGUACUGACGCUCAUGCACGAAAGCGUGGGGAGCAAACAGGAUUAGAUACCCUGGUAGUCCACGCCCUAAACGAUGUCAACUGGUUGUUGGGAGGGUUUCUUCUCAGUAACGUAGCUAACGCGUGAAGUUGACCGCCUGGGGAGUACGGCCGCAAGGUUGAAACUUAAAGGAAUUGACGG
rnacentral:rRNA from 1 species